GAUGAACGCUAGCUGCAGGCCUAACACAUGCAAGUCGAGGGACAGGCGCACGGGUGAGUAACACGUAUCUAACCUGCCCUUUCCUCGGGCAUAGCAUUUCGAUAGAAAGUUUAAUAUCCGAUAUAAAGGAUGGGGAUGCGUUCCUUUAGGUUGAUGGUAAGGUAACGGCUCACCAAGCCUUCGAUGGAUAGGGGUUCUGAGAGGAAGGUCCCCCACAUGUGAACUAAGACCCAGACCACUAUCGUACGGGGGGCAGCAGUGAAGAAUAUAAGUCAAGGGGCCCUAGCCUGAACCAGCCGAGUAGAGUAAAGGAUGAAGGCUUAUGAGUCGUAAACUACUUGGAAAUAAGGAGAUGUAUUAAAUGAAUAAGGAUCGGCUAACUCCGUGCCAGCAGCCGCGGUAAUAC
rnacentral:rRNA from 1 species